CAAGUACUCCCUCUGUCCGGAAUUACUUGUCAUCAAAAUGGAUGUGUCUAGAACUAAAAUACAUCUAUAUACAUCCAUUUCAAUGACAAGUAUUUUCGGACGGAGGGAGUACAAG
rnacentral:pre_miRNA from 1 species